AUCCAAACGGAGCUGCUGCAACUGCAACUCUGCAAGCAACAAACAAUGGGCUUCGUUCUCUGCGUUUCUGUGCCUUCCACUUUCUCUCUCCCAUUAUUACUGAUCCCACCCUUACAACCUCAUCGUUCGUAGGCUAGCUAGUUUUGGCGCUUUAAUUCCAAGGGAGGCCACCAACAGAAAGAUCUCUUCCUUCUCUGCUUCUGUCCUUCCCAGAAGAAGUGGAGGAAAAGGUAGGGUUUCGGAGAUGAGAGAAGAUAGGCAGCGACCGGCGGGCGGAAGGGCACCCGCCAAAGAUAAAAUUGACGCUUUUGGGAGACUCUUGCAUUCAGAAAAGAAAAUAACAGUGGUUUUGCCUCUUGGAAGAAAAUGGGAAACUGCUGAUUCGGGCAAACCACGGAUACACAAUAGAGGUGAUGUUCCCUUUUAGAAAUGCAACUGUCUUCUGCAUCAUGCAUUCCUGCUUCAUUCUUCAUUUCACCCAACAAAGUAGUACAAAAAAGAAUAAAAAUGUGUAUAGUUUUGAAGUUUGAUUGAGAUCUUUGUAUAAAAAAUUUGUGCUUUUUUUUUCUUUUUUGUCAAAUGUGCCGUUGUUUGCCCUUGUAGCAGAUGUUUUCAAUAGAUUACUCUCAAAGGUUGAUAGUGAAGAGUUAAUAAAAGGAUGGAGGUUAGGUAGAAAUAGAGUCCCGGUGACCCAUCUCCAAUUUGAUGAUGAUAUCAUUAUUUUUCAGUGAAGGGGAUGACUUAAGGAGAGCAAGGAAUCUGAAAAUUUUGAUAAAUUACUUUGCAAGUGUCUCUAACUUGAAAAUAAACCUGGAUAAGAGUUAUGUGGUGGGGAUAAACUUGAAUGAAGGGGUUAUUGAGUCUGUUAUAGAGUGCUUAAGUUGUCACAGUGCUUCUUGGCCUUUGUCCUAUCUAGGGCUCCCUCUAAGUGCUAACCCGAAGGAGAGUGGUUUUUGGACUCCAAUGUUGGAAAAGUUUGGAGAAACUAAUUAGGAAUUUCCUAUGGCGGCUAGGGGAAGAGAAGAAGGAGCACUUAAUAAGGUGGGAAAUAAUAUCCAGGAGCAAGGAAGAAGGCGGGUCGGGGAUAGGAAAUUUGGUUCUAAAGAAUAUAGCUUUGUUAGGUAACUGGUUGUAGAGAUGGCCCUUGUAAAGAGGGAGAUUGUGGCAUGAGGUGAUAGCUAGUAUUCGUGGUUGCUUGGAAAAUGGCUAGGAUGCCAGUGUUUCUCGUUGGGCAACCUUGACAACUUGGGAAGCAAUUCACAAUAUCCUUCCCCAAUUUCUUAACUUUGUCAGGUAUGAUGUUUGCUUAGGGGAUUUAUUCACUUUUGGGUCCAGGUGGGAAAUUCGGCUCUCAAAGACCUUUUCCCUUCUCUCUACUCUAUUUCCUUGUUUAAGCAUAAAGUUUUUUAUUUUUGUUUCUUCCCUUCCUCUCCCCCCCCUCCCCCCUUUCCUUUGUCUUUAAGUUGGAAUUUUGGCUUCCGUUGGGGUUUAAGGGAUGUUAAACUUGGUGUUGUUUAGAAACUCCUGGUUCUUGAUAAUGUCUGUUUGGAUCCUUUAAAAUCAAACAAGAGGAUUUGGUCCCCUCCAUCCAAAAGGGUCCUUUACUUGUGCUUCUUUUUUGAAGUCUCUUGGUUCUUCCUCCACUCAAGUGGCCUUUCCAGUUAAGGAUAUUUGGGUUCUCGCUACCUGAAGGAUGUGUAAAGCUGAAUUUUGAUGGAAUUGGUUAAGGCAAUCCUAGCCCCUCAUGUAUAGGCGGGGUUUUGAGAUAUAAGGAUAGAAAUAUCUUUGCCUUGUACAUGGGCCCAGUGGCAAUAGGAGACUCAAAUAGGACCGAGUUGUUGGCAACUUUACAAGGUAUUCAGAUUGCAAAUUAACUUGGUGUUGAUAAUCUUCUGUACAUGGGACUGUUCAUGGCUGAUGUGUCUUCCUUGUGUGCAGGAAACGAAUGGGCGGGCGUUUGGCUUCCUUCACUGGGAUGUGCUUCUCAUGGGCUAAUGGGCUGGUCCUCGGGCUGGCUAGUGGCUUGGGCCUGGGGUGCCACAUGGACUAAGGGCUCAACAACUCCCCCCCUCUUCAAAACAACCUUGUCCUUAAGGUUGAAGCCUGGAAACAUCCUCUUAAGGUUGUCACAAUCUUCCCAGGAUGCAUCCUCCUCUGCCAGGUACUUCCAAAACCACCAAUGCUUCCUUGUGAACUGCUUUACCCCUUUCAACCCACCUCAGAUCUAGAACCACCACCGGCUCAGGAUGGAGACCUUUCCUCAUCAUCGAACUCAGGCAAUGUGGGGCUAGCAUCCACCUGAGAGCUGAGACCCUACGCUCUUUUUUAGUAGGGAGACAUGGAAAACAGGGUGAAUGUGAGAGGAUGGAGGAAGGUCCAGUCUGUACGCCACCUCCCCUACUCGGGCCACUAUUCGAAAGGGCCCAAAAAACCUGGGUGCAAAUUUAGGCCACUUCCGACUGACACCUUGUUACGGUUCAAAGCAGGCUUAGCCUUGCCUACGCUUGGCAGGCUUACGUUAGGGACAUGCCCGUCAUUUUCGCCUAUAAGAUUUUUGG